rnacentral:rRNA from 1 species
GAUGAACGCUGGCGGCGUGCCUCAAACAUGCAAGUCGAGCGGGGCUAUGUAAUAUCGCAAGGUAGAACAUAGCCUAGCGGCGAACGGGUGAGUAACACGUGGGUAACCUGCCUGGAAGACAGGGAUAACGAUUCGAAAGGGUCGCUAAUACCUGAUAAUAUCCUUUCAUCGCAUGGUGAUAGGAAGAAAGGGGAAACCCGCUUUCAGAUGGGCCCGCGUCCCAUCAGCUAGUUGGUAAGGUAAAGGCUUACCAAGGCGACGACGGGUAGCCGGUCUGAGAGGAUGUACGGCCACACUGGGACUGAGAUACGGCCCAGACUCCUACGGGAGGCAGCAGUUGGGAAUCUUAGGCAAUGGACGAAAGUCUGACCUAGCGACGCCGCGUGAGGGGAAGAAGGCCUUCGGGUUGUAAACCUCUGUCCAGUGGGGGAAGAAGUAAGUGGACGGUACCCCAAGAGGAAGCCCCUGCUAACUACGUGCCAGCAGCCGCGGUAAGGAGUAGUACA